rnacentral:rRNA from 1 species
GGGGGGUCUGACCCCUUCCGUGCCGGAGUUAACACAAUAAGCAAUCCACCUGGGGAGUACGACCGCAAGGUUGAAACUCAAAGGAAUUGACGGGGGCCCGCACAAGCAGUGGAGUAUGUGGUUUAAUUCGAAGCAACGCGAAGAACCUUACCAGGUCUUGACAUCCACCGAAUCCUGUAGAGAUACGGGAGUGCCCUUCGGGGAGCGGUGAGACAGGUGGUGCAUGGUUGUCGUCAGCUCGUGUCGUGAGAUGUUGGGUUAAGUCCCGCAACGAGCGCAACCCUUGUGAAUAGUUGCUACGAAAGAGCACUCUAUUCAGACCGCCGUUGACAAAACGGAGGAAGGUGGGGAUGACGUCAAAUCAUCAUGCCCCUUAUGACCUGGGCUACACACGUACUACAAUGGUCGUUAACAGAGGGAGGCAAGGCCGCGAGGUGGAGCGAACCCCUAAAAACGAUCUCAGUUCAGAUUGCAGGCUGAAACUCGCCUGCAUGAAGAUGGAAUUGCUAGUAAUCGCGGAUCAGCAUGCCGCGGUGAAUACGUUCCCGGGCCUUGUACACACCGCCCGUCACACCAUGAGAGCCGGGGACACCCGAAGUCGGUUGGGUAACCGUAAGGAGCCCGCCGCCGAAGGUGGAAUCGGUAAUUGGGGUGAAGUCGUAACAAGGUAACCAAGCC